CUUGGCAGGGAGACACUGACCUUGGGGUUAAGCUUGCAGAAAGCCCACGUCAACAGAGGGAAACUCUGUGACCACCUGUGUACUUUGGCUAUUAUAGUGAGUACACAACAAGUGCAUACAGAGGCCUGGGAAAAGCACAGGGAAGCAGAAGUCAGGUUCCUGUGUGAUUCCAAGGUCCAAAGACACAGGUGCAGACUUUGGAGCAAGUGGAGAGCCAAGAGAAAGAUUCAGAGCUGGAGCAGAAGGCUGGAAAGAUCUGGGAGUGCAGCUGUGCUGUGUGGGAAGAGGGGUCUCCUAAAGGACAAACAGCUGUUUGAAUCAGACAGUGAAACCUCAAAAAAAAGGGAGCAAAGGGAGAUCAUUGUUGAUGAAAGAGGCAACGGCUAUUUUCGUGGGAUAUGUGCUUGACUCUGAGAAUAUAGUUUUGGACAAAGAAACCCAUAACCUGACUUAAAGGAGCUUACAAUAUGGAGCUGACUGAUAUUUGGGAAAGGAUCAGGAAAUGAGCUGGUGCGAUGGAGAAAACAGGGAAGACAACCAGUGAGUUUCAG
rnacentral:lncRNA from 1 species